rnacentral:rRNA from 1 species
AUGAUGGAGCGCGGCGCCCAGCACCUGGCCGGCAGAUUCGCCGGCUCCCCGCUCCUCGGGGCCAGCCCCUCCCCCGUGCCGGGUCGAGCAUCGGCUUGGAGGCCAACACACGAGCACGGGUUCGCUCGAUCCGUCCGGGUAGGGCGCCGCCGGCGGUCUUCUUCUCCGGCCAUCCGUCGCCGGCGGCCGUUCUUCCUGCUCCCGUGCCUCUGA